GAUCCGCUGAUUUCUUUUCGCCUGCCCUAAAAACGCCGACGGCUUCACCACACCUGCCGAUCUCGACGGAGCUGGCGAUCGUGCCUGGAGGUCCGGCCAAGCAACACACCACGCCGGAGGGGGGCACGGAGAUCGGAAGCUGAGACCUUUGACGAUCCUAUCGGCGGCGCGAUACAGAGGGCGAAAAGCCGCCGACGGGGGGCACGGGAAGGAGAAAGUAUGAUGUCGUGCCCUUUUCCAACCUCCAUUGAUGCCCUUGCCAAACCAAGGGCGCUCCGUGCUGUUGCCAUGGAGAAUCCGCCGCUUGCCUUCCCCAAGGACAACUCGCUCCUCUCGCUUCACACGUUCGUGAAACCGUAUGCAACCCAGUCUAAAAGAUUGGGCAAGAUGCAAAUGCAGUGUCUUCAUCAAGAGAUGGCAGGGAAUAGUACACUGCAUACAGAUUAUAAGGGGGGAGAACAGAGGCCAUGGACAAAAUUUGAUGCCAGGCUUGUACUUGAAGAUGGUUCUGUAUGGAGAGCAAAGUCUUUUGGUGCAUCAGGAACACAAGUUGGUGAAGUCGUGUUCAAUACAUCUUUAACAGGGUAUCAGGAGAUUCUCACUGACCCCAGCUAUGCUGGUCAAUUUGUUCUGAUGACAAAUCCUCAUAUUGGGAAUACUGGUGUCAAUCCUGAUGACGAGGAAUCUAGUCAAUGCUUCCUUGCUGGUUUGGUCAUCAGAAACCUAAGCAUUUGCACUUCAAACUGGCGAUGCACAGAAACUCUCAGCGAUUAUUUGACAAAUAGGAAUAUCAUGGCCAUAUAUGAUGUGGACACUCGUGCCAUUACAAGAAGGCUGAGAGAAGAUGGGAGUCUUGUUGGAGUCUUAAGCACUGAUGAGACUCAAACCGAUCAAGAUUUACUGGAAAUUGCCCGCAAAUGGAAAAUCAUUGGUGUGGAUUUGAUAAGUGGUGUUUCAUGUGAGACCCCAUACGAGUGGUCGGAGAAAACAAACACACAAUGGGAAUUCAACAAAGAUCAGAAUCUUGCCAAAAGCUUUCAUGUUGUUGCAUAUGAUUUUGGAAUAAAGCAUAAUAUUUUGAGGCGGUUGUCAUCUUAUGGAUGCAAAAUCACAGUUGUGCCUUCGAAGUGGCCUGCCUCUGAAACACUAAAGAUGAAUCCUGAUGGUGUUCUUUUUAGCAAUGGCCCUGGAGACCCAGCUGCAGUUCCAUAUGCUGUAGAAACAGUGAAGGAAAUAAUUGGUAAAGUUCCUGUUUUUGGAAUUUGCAUGGGCCACCAGUUGCUUGGGCAGGCAUUAGGUGGCAAGACAUUCAAGAUGAAGUUUGGUCAUCAUGGUGGAAACCAUCCAGUUGGGAACCUUCGUCAAGGACGUGUUGAGAUAAGUGCACAGGUUUGUUUAUUGAACCAAAGUUAAGUUUUAACUCUGUACUUUGCUUCUUGAAGUUAUAUUCAUGAUUUUUUUCCCCUCUUAGCAUCUAGUGCUUUGAUUUAAGUGCCGCAUAUCAUUUCAAUUUUUACUAUGGAGCUAGUGAGGGCCUCCUCUCCCUUUGGUUCACCUCUUGAUAUGCAUGGAAAGGCCUUUAAAAGAAUAUAAGCUUCGCAUACUGUCCUAUCCUUUUGGAGCCACCUCAGUUGUUUGGCAACUUGACAAAUUCCACCUUCCAAGUAGAACUCAGCAUCAGCGUGGCUCCUCGGCAUUGGUUUGGCUGACGCCUUGUGUUCUGCUGACCAAGUCUCUCAUUCCCAAUUCCUACUUCGCUUGCAAACUAUGGUACUUGAGGCGGAAGCUUACCUUUGUGUUGGCACUAAAUUUUUACUGUUCUUGUGCUUGUGUUUGUUUUUGUUGCUUGAGUUGCUAUUUUUGGUUGCAUGAGUUUCUUGUUUUUGUUUUCCUUUAAUGGCUAAUACAGUUACUGCCUUCCUGGGUCUACCAGAAAGAUGCUAGGUGAAUUGGUAGAGAAUGAAUGACUAGUAAAGUAGAUACUACAUAACCAUAAUUAUGCUGUUGACCCUGCAUCCCUCCCUGUUGGAGUUGAAGUAACUCACAUAAAUCUUAAUGACAAAAGCUGUGCUGGUCUUGCUUGCCCAGAGCUAAAACUGAUGUCCCUUCAAUACCAUCCGGAGUCUUCUCCUGGGCCCCAUGACUCCGACCCAACUUUCGGGGAGUUCAUUGAGUUGAUGAAGGCAAAUGAAACAUAAAUGUUCAAUCAUGCAAUAAUUCAGACGCGUAAUCUUAGAGGAAUCUUGGUUAUCUUAAAGUACCACAACAUGCGUGUGCUGAAAAAAGUCUCUUCUACUAGUACCAUGUUAGUAUCUAUCUAUGUUGAUUAUUUUCUGUUGUUUGAGGUGCUAGUUUUUUGGUUGUCUUCUCAUGGGUUUUGUUUUCUCCAUUAAAAUUAUUGACUAUGAAGAAUUUAAUGAGUUUUUUACUGUGUUAAUCUAAGCUAUGUUCAUCUGAGUUUCAGUAGA